AGUGAACGCUGGCGGUAGGCCUAACACAUGCAAGUCGAACGGCAGCACAGUAAGAGCUUGCUCUUACGGGUGGCGAGUGGCGGACGGGUGAGGAAUACAUCGGAAUCUACUUUUUCGUGGGGGAUAACGUAGGGAAACUUACGCUAAUACCGCAUACGACCUACGGGUGAAAGCAGGGGAUCUUCGGACCUUGCGCGAUUGAAUGAGCCGAUGUCGGAUUAGCUAGUUGGCGGGGUAAAGGCCCACCAAGGCGACGAUCCGUAGCUGGUCUGAGAGGAUGAUCGGCCACACUGGAACUGAGACACCGUCCUGACUCCUACGGGAGGCAGCAGUGGGGAAUAUUGGACAAUGGGCGCAAGCCUGGUCCAGCCAUACCGCGUGGGUGAAGAAGGCCUUCGGGUUGUAAAGCCCUUUUGUUGGGAAAGAAAAGCAGCAGGUUAAUACCCCGCUGUUCUGACGGUACCCAAAGAAUAAGCACCGGCUAACUUCGUG
rnacentral:rRNA from 1 species